AUCACUGAGUGCACUCGAAGAGAGGGGGAUUCCAAAAUUAGAUUUGUUCACGCAAUAUAUCAGGACCGGACCGGACCGGACCGGCAUUACCACGAAAAAGGAAUUCCGGCGACAUCACGGUGCUGAUUCAAUGGCGAAUCACGUAGCUGAGGAAAAGCCUCUUAGGAAAAUGGCGGAAGCUUUCAAAGACCUAGCCAACACUUUAAAUUCUCAAACCCUAGAUGAAGCUGCUAAGAUGGAAGUAGCUCCUUUCUCUCACGCUUGUACUUUGGUCUCUCCUCUAUUCCGCUGCCUCGGUAUCGCCUUCAAGUUUGCUGAGCUCGAUUACGUUGCUAAGGUGAAUGAUCUAGCAGAGGCAUCAAAGUCUAUUACAACGUUGCACACAAUGAUGGAUCAAGAUAUUCAAGCAAACUGUGUGAGAAAGGCAGGUAGUCAUACAAGGAACUUGUUAAGAGUUAAGCGUGGGCUGGAUAUGGUUAAGGUGUUGUUCGAGGAGAUUAUAGCCUCAGAGGGGAAUUCCUUGAAAGAUCCAGCAUCAAAAGCAUAUACACAAGUGUUUGCUCCAUACCAUGGAUGGGCCAUCAGGAAAGCUGUGUCUGCAGGAAUGUAUGCCCUCCCCACCCGGCAACAGCUGAUGAUCAAGCUUAAUGAAGAUGAAGACUCCGCAAGAACGCAGAUGCAAAAUUAUGUCGCCUCGUGUGAUACUGUCAUUUUGUACAUUGACAAACUCUUCACGUCAAGAGAUUUGGGUACUGAUUGGUGACCAUGAAGAACUGGAUGUCAUAAUGCUCAUUCAUUCAUGUGAUUCGCCCCUAAUCACUUAUAUGUAUAAUCAUUUGACGCAGUGGUCCAAAUAUUUGAUUGUAACUAACUUAUCUUAACUAGCAGGGAAAUGAAAA
rnacentral:misc_RNA from 1 species